rnacentral:lncRNA from 11 species
AGCACAACCAAUUUCUGCUGCUAGGUAUAGCUCUUGGCUGUUAAUUUAAUUUGGUCAGGUAAGUAUAGAAGUGCAUCUACACUGUCAAAUUUGACUCCUUUUCAGCUGUCAUGGAUCAAUGCUAUGGACUGAUGGGUUUUAAAUAAUUGUAAUGGUGCUUAACUUUCCAUAAUACCAGCUAUCUUUUAUUGUCAGCAAUUUUCUUCAGGUUUUUUUUUCUACAAAGAAAAUGGGAGAAGGGCAAUAUGUGGUGACAAAUCUCAACUGUGUGAUGGCAAAACAAUGGAGGACUCCUGAGUAAAAUGGAUGGAUUGAAAAGUAUGUGACAAAGAAAUUCAAAAAGGUGUGCUGGGCAAUGUCAAAUCAAGGCAGUUAAACCUUGCCCCCUACCCAAUAAAUGGAAUUGAAAUUGGGCAUGAAUUGGGCCUCACCCCCUUAGUAACUUUUAUCCUGUUAUUGCAGACACUCGAGGAUUUAAUUUUUAUAUUUAGAGGAACCUCAGACAACCCUUCUGUUGCUAAAAGGAAAGAAAAGAUAUUACAAUGGCAACAAAAGAAAUGGGCGCUGUGUUUCUUCUUGCACAUAAAGCUUUCCUUUUAUUUCUUUUGGACAAACCUAACAAUAUUUUUGGCAGAAGCAUUGUUGCCAUAUUGCUUUGACAGUCAAGUAUCCAGAAAGGGACUUAAGGCUGUCUAGCUGGAGGCAAUGUCCAAUAAACCCUAAUCUUUAUGUCUCUUUGUUUUUUCUAAAGGACAGCAUGAAUGAAUAUCUAUUAGCCAUGACUUGACAAUCAAUUCUACUUCAUGUUGGAUAUGGUUCAAAGUUUCUUUUGUAUAAAG